rnacentral:tRNA from 1 species
GAGAGAGGCUCGAUAGCACCGAAAGCUGCUAACUUUCAUGACCUUGGUUAGACCCCAGGGCUCACUCG